CGAGUUCCUCUUUGGCUUCCAAGGCCUCUUCAAGGGCCCGAGCCAGGGACAGGGCCUUGGUUUCCUUCUCCCUGGCUUCUGCCUCAGCUCUGUCCCUCUCAUCCGCGUAUUUGGAAGAGAUGUUUUUCUCCUCGGCUAACAACUACAACACAAGACCCAGAGGUGACUUCUAGGCAUAUCCGGGGUUGGACACAAGUUGCCGCUGGUUGUCCAAAUCGACGACCAGGUCGUCCAGCUCCUGCUGAAGCCUGUUCUUGGUCUUUUCCAGUUUAUCGUAAGCGGCCG
rnacentral:sRNA from 1 species